AGAGUUUGAUCCUGGCUCAGGAUGAACGCUGGCGGUAUGCCUAACACAUGCAAGUCGUACGAGAGUUUUUAACUCUAGUGGCGGACGGGUGAGUAACACGUGAGAAUUUGCCUUUAGGAGGGGGAUAACAAUUGGAAACGAAUGCUAAUACCCCAUAUGCUUUCGAGUGAAAUGAAUUUUUUAUUUGCCUAAAGAGAAGCUCGCGGCUGAUUAGCUUGUUGGUAAGGUAAGAGCUUACCAAGGCGACGAUCAGUAUCUGGUUUGAGAGGACGAUCAGACACACUGGAACUGAGACACGGUCCAGACUCCUACGGGAGGCAGCAGUGGGGAAUUUUCCGCAAUGGGCGAAAGCCUGACGGAGCAAUACCGCGUGAGGGAAGAAUGCCUAUGGGUUGUAAACCUCUUUUUUCAGGGAGGAAUAAAUGACGUGUACCUGAAGAAUAAGCAUCGGCUAACUCCGUGCCAGCAGCCGCGGUAAGACGGAGGAUGCAAGUGUUAUCCGGAAUCACUGGGCGUAAAGCGUCUGUAGGUGGUUUAAUAAGUCAACUGUUAAAUCUUGAGGCUCAACUUCAAAAUCGCAGCUGAAACUAUUAGACUAGAGUAUAGUAGAGGUAAAGGGAAUUUCCAGUGUAGCGGUGAAAUGCGUAGA
rnacentral:rRNA from 1 species